CCUACGGGCGGCUGCAGUGGGGAAUAUUGCACAAUGGGCGCAAGCCUGAUGCAGCCAUGCCGCGUGUGUGAAGAAGGCCUUCGGGUUGUAAAGCACUUUCAGCGGGGAGGAAGGCGUUAAGGUUAAUAACCUUGUCGAUUGACGUUACCCGCAGAAGAAGCACCGGCUAACUCCGUGCCAGCAGCCGCGGUAAUACGGAGGGUGCAAGCGUUAAUCGGAAUUACUGGGCGUAAAGCGCACGCAGGCGGUCUGUCAAGUCGGAUGUGAAAUCCCCGGGCUCAACCUGGGAACUGCAUUCGAAACUGGCAGGCUAGAGUCUUGUAGAGGGGGGUAGAAUUCCAGGUGUAGCGGUGAAAUGCGUGGAGAUCUGGAGGAAUACCGGUGGCGAAGGCGGCCCCCUGGACAAAGACUGACGCUCAGGUGCGAAAGCGAGGGGAGCAAACAGGAUUAGAUACCCGUGUAGUC
rnacentral:rRNA from 1 species